AGCUAUUAGGCCAUCUGCAAAAAGAAACAUAAGAAAAAGAAUGAUUCACUGAGCUGUUACAACUAAUAUAUUUCCAGUUUGAGACUUAUGACAGCAGAAACACCAAAACUGAUAAAGAGCAGACAGGAAAGGUACUUUGAAAAAGCAGAAGUUAUGAAAAACCUCCACUCUAAAUGCAGGAUCUGUCAUUUAUAUUAGUAAUAUUGCCUUGCUAUGGCUCUGCAGCUACAUCAAGCCUGCUGGCAAUGGUAUGCCUCAGGUGUAUGAACACACAGCUCAGGUGUAUGAACACACAGCUGCCUGGGUGGGGACUCUGCCCAGAGUGUGCCACAGCUCACCCUAGACCACAGGCCUGAGCCCUUCCUGGCUGCCACUGUGCCAGUGGAAGGAGCAAAGCAAACAUUGGCCCAUGCUUGCCCUGAGAUGGGGCUGUCACUUCAUCCAGGUUCCUGCAUCCAGGAAAACAUAAGUGCUCUCAUGUCCACUCAGUUAGGCAUAAUGUAUGAAAAGCUGAGAACCAGGGAUAAAGAGAUAAGAUCUGUACACAGUGAAUAUGGCUCAUGGCAAAUUAUUCAUAGUAAGAUUUUGGAAAGGAAGGACAAUCUCAGCAAAGGAGAAGGAGUAAUUUGCUGCAUUUGCUUUUUGUAUCUCAAUCUCAAAGAAUGGGGAAAGAAGAACUAUAAGUUAUCACAGAUAUAUCUCACAUAAGCCAGAAAUUGCAUUCUUGGGGCAAGCUAAGAAUCAGGAAAUAAAUUCUGGAGAAAAAAUAUAAGGAGGUGAAUGUGUCUAUCUCAAAAGGAAAAAAAUAGAGAACUGGUAUCCCAUUUAUUAGUUUGACUCCAAAUGACAGAAUAUAGGAAGCAAAGUGACAUGAAGUUGACUUCUUGGUCCCUUGGUCCCAAACUCUGUUUUGCAAACUAUGUUUGGCAACCCAGGAGGCAGCAUUUCUUAAGCUAGCCCCCAAGCCUCCACAGAGAUUCCAGAGGGAAAAUCUGAAUGACAGCCAAAUUGAGACUGGUAUGAGGAACACUUGUUUUCUCAUUUUCAUACUUGUCUUCUGUAUUUUCAAUAUAAUAAGUAAAACAAAACUCUCCUCUAGCAGACAAUAUAUUUCCUUCUUUAGCUGAUGUGGUGUUAAGUGCUGUUGAGCAGCUCAGGCCAACAUUAAGACACCAGAUCUGUUUUCUACAGGCAUAACAAAUUUAUACCUAGUCUUCUACAAUCCAAAUAGUUUGGGAACCCCUGGGGCUGUAGUGUACAAUAAUUUUUUUCAUUUGCCUUCUUGCACUCAUGACAGAAAUGUCAUUUUGCUGAAAAAGGGCAUCAGAACUGAACAUUGCUGAAUGAUACAUUGGCUUUGUGAUCUCCCUCUAUCAUGACUCAUGAGCUUUUUUAUUGUGGUUUUUCCUUCUCUGCAGCUGAGAAGGGUAGAGAGAGGCUGCAAAGGGUGCCAAGGCCAGCCCAAUGCUGGCUACAAGCACUACAAUACAACAGUGGAUUGACCCAGAUAUAAGGAACCUCUUCUGCAAGUAGAAGAAAGGUGCAUCCCCUCAUAAAGCUACGGCUGCCUGCUGCUUUCCAUCUGUAUUUGGUACUGAAGUCCCCAGAGGAUAGAAAAGAGAAGAUAAGUAUGAACAUAUCCUAUAUUCCUCUCCCUAACUUUAUGCCCCAGUGGAAGCAUGGGCAGGUAUGUGUGUGAUGGAUUGGAGACUGGAGCUCCCUGAGGAUGAGGAGUCCUAUGCAGUCCCCAGGCACAGGACAAACUGUACCCUUUUUACAGCCUGACAAUAAUGCCUACUUUUUUUCUGCCUAUGUGCCAGUAAAAUUCACUUUUAAUUAUUAAAAAAAAAAAAAAAAACAACAACAAAAACCUAGUUAAAUCUAAGUGGACCUGAUUCCUUGUAGAAAAGUCCCUAAAAAGUCCCUAAAAACUCUCAAAGUUCUAAAUUUGGUGGGGUUUUGUUUUCUGGUUAAUUCAAAGAAUCUUGCAUCAUGUCUCCCAUGUAGACUCAGAGUUUAGUUCUUGACAUCAGUCAUUUCAAUUGUACACUACAACUUGCAAUAGAGAAACAUUGAAGGAAUAUUUAUAGCUGUAUAUUCUUGGCAUGGUAUAUGAGAAAAGAAAAUUAGCCAAGAGAAGGCAGGGAGAGAUUUUUAUUGCUGGUACUCUGUAAGCACCCAGCCUUUCCAAGCUCAUUUCCAUGAAGAUAGUAUACUUUAAUCUUACCUUCUGAAGAGGUCUGAUAAAGAAAAGUCCUCAAAUGAGAUGAACUUGAUUUAACCUAGGUACCAGAUAAUCUAUAUCUCUUCCAAGAACUGAGAGGAAGUUGUGACUAAGAGCCAUAUCCCUGGAAGAAAACAUAAUAUACUAUUGUCCUUUCAAAGACUCUCUGUGAGAUGAGUAAACACGCAAUAAGCUACAGGCUGAAUUUGUUGUCUUUCCUCCAGGAAUGAAAGCCAAAGAUGUUCAACAUAGUUCAGGCUGGCAAAGCUGUUUAUCUGAACAUUUCUACAAUUCACUGUAAACCUUUCUUUGUGAGGGAAAAGUACACGGAUUCCAACCCCAGGAUAAGAAAUAGGUUAAGUUUUAAAAUUAUUGAUUCAAGAGGGGCAUCAAGAGAUCAGACACCACAGUUAACUCAGUGGAUGUGGUGCUUUAAUGUACUGAAAUCGUUCUGUACAAGGAGACUCUCCACCAUGGGUAGAUCAAUGAAAGUUUCAUGGACAGUGUUCUAGCAGUCUUUCAGAACAGGAAUACCUACACUCUGACAGAAAAAGAUUUCACUCACUUAUUCUACAAACUAGCAAAAGAAUAUACAGUGUCAAGGAUAGAAUUUUCUCACUUCUUGUAAUGGAGUAAAUAAAUAAACAUUGAAAUAUAGCAUGCCAAAAAGGAUUCCUAUAGCUACAUCUAUUUAUUCACUCAAAGAAAUCCUGUAGGCAUGAUGCAUUAUUUCCAUUUUUAUGCUGUUAAAAUGCUUGAGAAACUUGUCAAUGUUGUCCCAUCCUAAUUUAUUUUCCUACCACAUAUGCAAUAAGAAGAAAAAUUGUCCUAAAAUCUAUUUCUCAAAUACAUUAACUGAAAAUGUAUUCACUAUCAGGUUUUCUUUCCUACACUAUCAUUUGCUAUUUUCCCAUUUUGUUUAGUGUGAACUAGAUAAAAUUCUCAAUACUGCCAGUUAAGUAAGACUGACAGAGAGCUGGGACUCCCAAGUCAAUUGUGAUGGUUCUUGCAGAAUGAAUUGUUCCUCUUCAGCUUGCCCAGACUGUUCCCUAGCACUCUGAGGCCCAUUUGAGCAGCCCUUAAGCAGAAUACCUGCUUCAGUUGUGACAUUUCUUCUUCAUAGACCACACUUUCAGCCUUUGUAGGGAACAGAAACCACUUAGCUAGAUGUGGCUCUGCCAGACUCUUGAGUAAUGAGAAUUUUUAAAAAGGAUUUCUAAUUGAUACAAUUUGCUAGAUUCUACCAUUCACUUAAUGGAUUAGCUUGCUUUCUUUCCUUCCUAGGGGCCAGCUGCUCAGAUGGUUCAGAAAGCCAACCCUUUCUUUCACUAAAGAGAAAAAAUGAGUUAUCAUAAGAGAUAGUCCAGCAUUAAACAAUCACUAAAACGCUGGGGAGCAGCAUCUGUCUGUUGCUCACAGGAAAAGAUUUAGUCCCAAUGCAUCCUGAUGAACUAUUUACAUUAUGAAACACUUUUAAACUCUUUUUACACUACUUAAAAGAGUAAAAUUAAGGGUUGAUUUGUAGAAGUACCAGUGGACUUGAUUUUAUUACUUUGUGUUACUGCACACACCUGAAACAUUAGUCUUUAUAAACAUUAAUUUAGGUGUGUUUUAAUAAAUAUUGUCAAUUAUAUAUUUAAGCUCCUAUAUGCAUGUAGAUAUCUUAUUAAUUAUUAAUUACUCCAUCCUCUUUCCAUGGUACCAUGCUGUGGCUACAGGCAGAUGUGAGGAAGCCCCUGAAGUCUCUGCCGACAGGAACCCUUUCUCAUGUGGGCGUGCCUUGUGGAACUUGCCAGUCUGAAGGGACAAGGGACACAACCAGCACAGUUUCAGAAUCAUUUACAUGUUAUUAUUCCAGUGUUAUUUAAAGUGCUGUUAUCAACAACUCUUUUGUAGAUUUCCCCAUCCAGUAACUAGGGCUUAUCAACUGGAAGUACAAAAUCUUAUCAGUGGCUUUAUACUCCAGCACCAUUCCUUCUCUUUUCCACUAGCCAUUAUUUCAACCUAAAAAAGUAGGCAGCAACCUUGGUACUUUCAGCUGAAUUGGGAAUGAGAUACAAAGACUGCCAUGAAGAAAAAGAAACAUUGUUAAGAAGGUGGUUUUGACACAAGAGAGGAUGAGACUGUGCAGGCAGCCACAUGAAAAAAAAGUGCAUCUUUAAAUCCACUGCAAUCCGCACUCAACUCCUGUCAGCAUUCUAUUUCUGCUCACAGAUGCAACUUCUUGUUUUUAACCACCCUCUCCACUCUACUCCAACACUUCCAUAAGGCUCCUAUGACCACUCUUGGCAUGCUUUAAGGAUGAAAGAGACAAACUAAGAACCAUAAUAGAUUUGCCUUUGAUGUUUGCAGACACUGUUUCACAUGACCUCUCCCAGAAUCCUUCCCAAAACCACAAAUGGAAAUAGGGACCUAAGAACCGGGCAGAGGGGGAAUACACAAACAAAACAAACAAAAAAAAAAAACCAAACACCUCCAAAACUGACAGAAGUUCUAAUGAGAAGAAAGGUACAAUGUAUAUUUGCUCAAAUAUAAAGAAUAAAAACAUCAAGAGACUUCACAAUGCAAACUCUGAGGAUGGUAUCAAUGAGCUCUUAUGAGAUCAAGUCAGGCUUUUAACCAAGUUCUAACUGGACCAUCACCUUGGUCAACAUAUUCAAAAGCUGUCACAAUACUCAACACCACCUAUACAGGUGAAUUUUCAAACACUGUCAAAUAAGCUCAUCAGUUUUAUCAAGGCAUUGUGUCUCCAGAAUAAAAAGGGAAAUCCAGCGUGGUCUCAUAACACGAAUUGUUGUUGAUGGUAUCAGCAUUCUGCCACAAACAUUUAUGUUGAAUUCAUAUGAAGUGUGGGGAGCUUGGCUGACAUAAAAAUAACUCAGAAAUAUUGCCCCACCCCAAAGAAUAAAACCUUCCAAUAUUUAAUUAAUAAUGUUUUAAGGAAAUCACUGAGGAACAGGAACAUGGAGAAAACCAUCCUGAGGCCACUUGAAUCUGACUUAUUGGCAAGAUCCUUCUGCUCCAUAGAGGAAAAGGCAUGCAUUAAGUUUUUUCUUAGUGAGCUUCUCAAUUCCUUCUCAGAGGAAGCUAAAUGUAGUCAGCCCAAUAUGCUGAACCAGCAAUUGCAGGCCAUGCUCUAAAAAUAUCGAGGUAAGAGAAAUAUUGUCUUCUCUACUCUGUACCUGCAGUAGGAUGUAUGAUAUUCAUAUAUUAGGUAUCAGAAAAGAAAGAUACAAUAGGAUUAAUGUUGUUUCACUGUGUCUUGUUAUACAUAUUAAGUAAUUAAGAUACAUUGAAGAGUUUGCAUUCUAAAAGGACAAAUCAAGAAGAUUUUGAGGAAAAACAAGGGGUUUAUGGAGCUUGAUUACUCCAAAUAAGGGGUAAACCUAUUCCUGAACAACAAUCUAAAGAUUGAUUAAAGUAUUGAUGGCACCAAUGGGAAAUAUGUCACCUGAGUUUUGACAUUCGGAUUAUGUGAAGAGAUAAUAUACAUAGCUUUGUGAAAUUUCAUAUACGUCAGUUCCCAAGGAUUGACCAAGCUGGCGUCUUCACUGCCUGUAUCACCUACUCCAGCUUGGGGACACAAGCUAUGGCCUGCAGACUCAGGAGAGGGAUAAUGCUUUCUCUCCUACUAAGAAGUAUCCCAUGUUAUCACAGAUUAUAUUCAGGCAAUCUGAAUUUUACUCUGUGUGGAAAAAAAAAGCUUAACUGGUUUAUACAGAGAUCACUUUUAAGCAUUCCUGAAGUAGCAAAAAUGAAAUCUCAAGAACAGCAAAAGCUUUUUCUUUCCUGUUUUUCAGAAUUGGUGAGAACUAGCAAGGUCAUUGCUCCCCAUUGCUUAUGUUUGUCACAGCAUACACCAUGUAGCAUCCAGAUGAGAAGCAAAGCCCAUCACCAGUGCGAAUCAACAAAACCGAAAUCCCUCACCCAUCAUUGUGAAUGCAAGCAACCUUGGACCAAGAGCAUCACCUCACGCUGUUGUCACACCUCUUCUCCUAAUGGCAGUACAAGUGAGAGCGGAAAAGUUACCUGGUUGUUUCCACCACAGUAACUGCCUUUUGGAAAACUAACAGAGAAAAAAAAUAAAGGGAUUACAUUCAGAAACAGAUAGACAGGAGGGAACCUUCAGAGUGGAGCAAUCAGAAUGAUCUUUGCACAGCCCCAUGGCACCAUUAAAAAAACCUUCCAACAGCAAACAGAUUUUUUUAAAAAUCAGGUGAAUAAUUUGAUGUCUGAUAUUAAAAUACAGGCUGUCAGUUUGAUGAAGGCUGUGGAAAAGUUAACUGCAAAAGCUAUUUCACAUCCUGACAGAAAAAUAUUAACAACAGUUUUUCCUCUUGUCUUCUUUACAUAAGAUAAUUGUAACAUGGGCAAAAUGGUGAUGUAAAAAGAAAGCACUAUCUUGACUCCAGUUUUGGCUACAAGAAUGAAACGAUUUUAUAGACUUCUGAUAGCAAUAAAAAAAAUUAAGAGUUUAGAACAAGCACAAUGGAAAUAUCUUUACUUCCUUUAGAAGUAUACAAAUUCAUUAAAGCAUUAUAAAGCAACUGUGCAUGUCAACCGUGAAGUUCAAAAAUGUAAUAAUACAUCGAUUUGUAAAAUAUAUCUAGUUUGUGCUAGUCAGUUGGCAGCAACUACUGAAGUUACAAGUUGCCAGUAACUUUUAACCUAAUGAAACAAGAUAUUCUGAAUACUAUCCUGGGUUUUGACUGUUCAGUAGAUGGCAUUUUAAAUGCCAUGGCAUUCUAAUCUACCACAGAUUCAGAUGUUUCAAUACAUGUGGGAACCAAAAUUAACAAAAUUAAUGGAGCAAUUAACAACUCAUUCAACUGCUGAGAAACAAAGUGUAGAAACUAUUGCUGCCUUGAAGCAGUCAAGCUUCUAGUUGCUCAAAAAAUUCUUAAACUACUUGACAUUGUAACAGAGAACAAAAGAGGACACGAAGAACACCACAUCAAGCAGGGAAAGAAACCAUAGUCAGUGUAUUGCAUCACCUAGAAUUUCAAAAGGUGUUCAAACCCAUAGUUCACACUAUCUCUAAACACAGUUCAUAUACUAAAACAUCACUGAUCUGAAAGGGAAUAUCCACCAUUGACAAAGUUCUCAUCCCAGUUAUCUCUCCCCAAAGGUGCUGGAGUCAUGGACAAUCCUGUCUACUGCUCUCCCUUCUGAAUUAGACACAAUUGUUCAUCAGUAGGAAAAAUAUUUCUUUCCCUCAUGGUACACAUUCUUGUUGGUUAUCAAGCCCACUUUAAUGAUGUCACUUCUGGCUGCUCCUGCAAGAUGCCAUUGUUUUCCCUGGUCUGUGCUGGGCAGACUGGGCCCACAGCAGUUCACAGAGAUCACUUUGCAGCCUCAGUCCUUGCUCAUUCAUACCUGUCUGCCCUGAGUCAUUAUGAUGUAACACCUUCAACAGCUGCUCUAUUAAACAUGACUCCCACAUCCUGACCAGGAUCAUGUUUGCUUCCUCUGUCCUCAGCCUGCAUUUCUCAAUUCUGUGUUUCUUGAAGCCAGGGGAUGCAAAGUAUGUCAGCAUGAAGCCCCAGUGGUACUACAACUACUGCCUGGGCUUUCUACAGGUAAUGUAUUUGCCUAUGAGAAUGAAGAUGGGCAAAAUAUGAGGGAUACCCUUGCUACCUCUGCGAAUUCCUCAAGAGAUAUUUGCUCCAAAACAAAAUUGUCUGUUUAUUGGACAGGACCAACAAACCAUAAUUUUCUGUAUUUUUAGCUCUCUUAAUGUGCUUGCUCUACAGACAAGGGGAAGAAAAUGCCCUGGUCAGAGUUCCUGAGCACCUUGUUGGUGAGGAUACUGAAUCAUCAUUCUUCAUAAGCAUCAGCAGAGAAGCCUGCAAUCCUGGGAAAUUACCAAGGAAUACUACCUGACUAUACUAUUAUGGAGUUCAGUCUUCUCAAACCUGAAGCACUGAGGUUUGAUGAGUGAGUGAUUUCUUUUUUUUUUUUUCUGGGGGGGUGGGUGUUCUUUGUUAAGGGUUUUUUUGUUUGGUUUGGUUUGGUUUUGGUUUUGUUUGUUUGGCAGGAUGAUAUGAAAGGAAUUCUUCCUAAUUGCACUUCACAGAAUGAAUUUGUGAUUUGAUCCACAUCUGCCAAAAAGGAGAAAUGGAGGUGCAGUGGCUGGCUUAUUGGUAUGACCAUGCAUCUAGGAUGCAGCAUGCAUCAUGUUCCAGGUCAAAGCAAUUAAGAUGACACAGACUAUGGCAGGGAUUCCUGAGCUGCCGCAAGCCCAGGCAAUGGUCCAUAGCAGCUCAUAGCUGAGAUGGGCUAGCCCAGGUCUUGAAAGUUUGUAGGCUGGGGCCAGAACUGGGCUACAGCUCCAGGUUCUCCUGCUGAUCAAGUGUUCUGGACCUACCAGCAUGUCCAGGAAAAUAAGAACACCAGAAAAGUUGGCCCAUUGUCAAUUAAAAUUGCAAGACAUUCUGACACAUUUUCUAAUGAGUAAUUUUUAAGCAGUUCUAGAACAUUCCUUUUACAUCUACAAGGAAAAUGUUCCAGUGGAGGUAAUCAUCCACUACUUUGCUGGUGAUAGUGGGCAGAAACCUUUCCACCAGAAAAUGCCAUUCAAUUUGGAUUCCCACACAUGCAGCUGCACAGGCAGGUUUUCUGCUCUUUGUUUUGACCAGCCAGGAUGACACUGGGCAGGGAGAUUAUUGUGAUUACCUCCUUUAAGUAGCAAGGAAGUGCAAAAUACCCAGCCAUUCUCCAGCUCAAAUUUACUGUUGCUCUGCUCCUGCUCCUCGGUGCUGGCCUCCUGUCAUCCCCCACGGUCCCUUGCUGGGGGUACCACAGUUCGUGCCCAGUGACAAGCACCUUGCUGUGUCACUUCAUAGCUGUCUUGCAUCUUUCUCUAUAGCUACAGCUUAAAGACUUUUAUCACCAUGAGUACAAAAUCUGAGCUCUGAAAUAUUCAACAGUGAGACCUAAUGCUCUGACCUGAUCUUAAGCAUCCUAUUCCUUGUGUCCUGACCCACUGUCACCUCACCCCUGUUGUAAAUAGUGCAGGGUCAUGCUGUGAACUAUAACAUACAUCUUAUUGUCUAUACCGUCUGGAGAAUACAUAACACUGGGAAAUAGAAGGAAUGCGCGUAGUGACUGCUCUGUGUAAGCUCAAACCUCAAAUAAAAAUUAGGGAUAAUCUCCUAGAGCUUGAAUUAA